rnacentral:rRNA from 1 species
UACGGGGGGGGCAAGCGUUGUUCGGAAUUACUGGGCGUAAAGGGCUCGUAGGUGGCCAACUAAGUCGGACGUGAAAUCCCUCGGCUUAACCGGGGAACUGCAUCCGAUACUGGAUGGCUUGAGUUCGGGAGAGGGAUGCGGAAUUCCAGGUGUAGCGGUGAAAUGCGUAGAUAUCAGGAGGAACACCGGUGGCGAAGGCGGGUCUCUGGGCCGUAACUGACGCUGAGGAGCGAAAGCGUGGGGAGCGAACAGG